rnacentral:rRNA from 1 species
UACAGAGGGGGCAAGCGUUGUUCGGAAUUACUGGGCGUAAAGGGCGCGUAGGCGGCCUGUUAAGUCGGACGUGAAAUCCCUCGGCUCAACCGGGGAACUGCGUCCGAUACUGGCGGGCUUGAAUUCGGGAGAGGGAUGUGGAAUUCCGGGUGUAGUGGUGGAAUGCGUAGAGAUCCGGAGGAACACCAGCGGCGAAGGCGGCGUCCUGGACUGGGCCUGACGCUCAGGAGCGAAAGCGUGGGGAGCGAUCCGG